UGCAAGUAGAACGCUGAAGAGAGGAGCUUGCUCUUCUUGGAUGAGUUGCGAACGGGUGAGUAACGCGUAGGUAACCUGCCUUGUAGCGGGGGAUAACUAUUGGAAACGAUAGCUAAUACCGCAUAACAAUGGAUGACACAUGUCAUUUAUUUGAAAGGGGCAAUUGCUCCACUACAAGAUGGACCUGCGUUGUAUUAGCUAGUAGGUGAGGUAACGGCUCACCUAGGCGACGAUACAUAGCCGACCUGAGAGGGUGAUCGGCCACACUGGGACUGAGACACGGCCCAGACUCCUACGGGAGGCAGCAGUAGGGAAUCUUCGGCAAUGGGGGCAACCCUGACCGAGCAACGCCGCGUGAGUGAAGAAGGUUUUCGGAUCGUAAAGCUCUGUUGUAAGUCAAGAACGAGUGUGAGAGUGGAAAGUUCACACUGUGACGGUAGCUUACCAGAAAGGGACGGCUAACUACGUGCCAGCAGCCGCGGUAAUACGUAGGUCCCGAGCGUUGUCCGGAUUUAUUGGGCGUAAAGCGAGCGCAGGCGGUUUGAUAAGUCUGAAGUUAAAGGCUGUGGCUCAACCAUAGUUCGCUUUGGAAACUGUCAAACUUGAGUGCAGAAGGGGAGAGUGGAAUUCCAUGUGUAGCGGUGAAAUGCGUAGAUAUAUGGAGGAACACCGGUGGCGAAAGCGGCUCUCUGGUCUGUAACUGACGCUGAGGCUCGAAAGCGUGGGGAGCGAACAGGAUUAGAUACCCUGGUAGUCCACGCCGUAAACGAUGAGUGCUAGGUGUUGGAUCCUUUCCGGGAUUCAGUGCCGCAGCUAACGCAUUAAGCACUCCGCCUGGGGAGUACGACCGCAAGGUUGAAACUCAAAGGAAUUGACGGGGGCCCGCACAAGCGGUGGAGCAUGUGGUUUAAUUCGAAGCAACGCGAAGAACCUUACCAGGUCUUGACAUCCCGAUGCUAUUUCUAGAGAUAGAAAGUUACUUCGGUACAUCGGUGACAGGUGGUGCAUGGUUGUCGUCAGCUCGUGUCGUGAGAUGUUGGGUUAAGUCCCGCAACGAGCGCAACCCCUAUUGUUAGUUGCCAUCAUUCAGUUGGGCACUCUAGCGAGACUGCCGGUAAUAAACCGGAGGAAGGUGGGGAUGACGUCAAAUCAUCAUGCCCCUUAUGACCUGGGCUACACACGUGCUACAAUGGUUGGUACAACGAGUUGCGAGUCGGUGACGGCAAGCUAAUCUCUUAAAGCCAAUCUCAGUUCGGAUUGUAGGCUGCAACUCGCCUACAUGAAGUCGGAAUCGCUAGUAAUCGCGGAUCAGCACGCCGCGGUGAAUACGUUCCCGGGCCUUGUACACACCGCCCGUCACACCACGAGAGUUUGUAACACCCGAAGUCGGUGAGGUAACCUUUUGGAGCCAGCCGCCU
rnacentral:rRNA from 1 species